GUAUGGCUGCAUUUCUAGAUGCUGCUGAUGGGAAAUAUAUUGAGGAAAGAAGCAGAAUGAGCACUGAAAAUUGGAGGAGGCACACACUCACUACAAGAAGCAGCUGCCCAAGUUGGCAGGCCAUGUCCCUCUCAUUAUGCUGGUCAGUCACUCGUGUCCUGGAUCCCUCUCCCCUGCUGCUGCUGCUGCUGCUGGACAGGUCAACUGCUGGUUCAAACCAAGUCACCGUUUGAAAACUCUCUGAGAAUAGCUUGAGAAGGCUGAUGAAGAGCAAGUAUCAUAAUCCGCCCGCUGCUAAGAGAAGAGAAGUGAUGCUCCUAAAACCUGAGUGGGUUGUGAGGAGUGAGGCAAGGCAUUCUGGGUCUCUGAUGCUAUCCCAGAAUGCACCUGGCAGAAGGCAGGGGACGUAAAUGAAACAAAUGGAAAUAUGAAAAUAAUGUCUACUAUAGGGAUCAUUUCAAAUGAUCAGGAAACUUAAUUUCCAAAGAGAAUAAGAGUACCAGAGAAUUUCCCUUUAAUGCUUUUAACAUCUCUUGUGUAAAGACAGAAAACAACAAUAUAACAGACCAUAUCACAGUUUUUUUUUCUUUCUCAGCCCGUCUGUGCCUUCCAGCCCAACUUCCAUCUGUAUCACAUGAACAUGUUGAUCCUUCAGAGAAUACAUUUAAAUUCUGAGCAAUCCCGACAAUCAUUAGGGCCCUGUGGCUCUUUAGGGCUCAUGCACCAAGUGGUGAAAGGACCAAACUGUAGAUAUUCAUUGUUACAUAAACAGAGGUCAUGCAGCGGUUGGGCUCUACUGUAAACUGCUUUACAAAUAUCAACAAAAAGAACUGUGAAUAAAGCCUGUUUCCUCUAUUUCA